rnacentral:lncRNA from 1 species
CGGUUAUUCGGCGGAGUACUACCCGAAGGUCCACGGACCUUACGAUCCUGUCCGUUUCUACGGCAAGCCGG